UGUUGGUUAUGUGUGCCCAAGCAUUGAGGCAGUCAAAGUAGGCAAAUCCGCUUUGAUAAUGCUGGGAUGUGAUGGGGAGCGAAAUUUAGUAGCGAAGUAGCUGAUUUCACACUGUCAAGAAAAGUCUCUAUCGAGGUUAAAGGUACCCGUACCGCAAACCGACACAGGUGGGUGAGGAGAGUAUCCUAAGGCCAGCGAGAGAACUGUUGUUAAGGAACUCGGCAAAAUGACCCCGUAACUUAGGGAUAAGGGGUGCCACCAUCAGGUGGCCGCAGAGAAUAGGCCCAAGCGACUGUUUACCAAAAACAUAGGUUUCUGCUAAGUCGCAAGACGAUGUAUAGGAGCUGACGCCUGCCCGGUGCUGGAAGGUUAAGGGGAUCUGUUAGAGCAAUCGAAGCAGUGAACUUAAGCCCCAGUAAACGGCGGCCGUAACUAUAACGGUCCUAAGGUAGCGAAAUUCCUUGUCGGGUAAGUUCCGACCCGCACGAAAGGCGUAACGAUUUGGGCACUGUCUCAACAACAGACUCGGUGAAAUUGUAAUUCCGGUGAAGAUGCCGGAUACCUGCGACAGGACGGAAAGACCCCAUGGAGCUUUACUGUAGCUUGACAUUGGGUCUUGGUACUACAUGUACAGGAUAGGUGGGAGGCUUUGAAACCAGGACGCCAGUUUUGGCGGAGCCAUCCUUGGGAUACCACCCUUGUAGUACUGGGACUCUAACCAUAGGCCAUGAAUCUGGUCUUGGGACACUGUCAGGUGGGCAGUUUGACUGGGGCGGUCGCCUCCCAAAAGGUAACGGAGGCGCUCAAAGGUUCUCUCAGUACGGUCGGAAAUCGUACGUAGAGUGUAAAGGCAAAAGAGAGCUUGAUUGCAAGACAUACAGGUCGAGCAAGGAUGAAAAUCGGACUUAGUGAUCCGGUGGUUCUGCGUGGAAGGGCCAUCGCUCAACGGAUAAAAGCUACCCUGGGGAUAACAGGCUUAUCUCCCCCAAGAGUCCACAUCGACGGGGAGGUUUGGCACCUCGAUGUCGGCUCAUCACAUCCUGGGGCUGUAGUAGGUCCCAAGGGUUGGGCUGUUCGCCCAUUAAAGUGGUACGCGAGCUGGGUUCAGAACGUCGUGAGACAGUUCGGUCCCUAUCCGUCGCAGGCGUAGGAAAUUUGAGAAGACCUGUCCUUAGUACGAGAGGACCGGGAUGGACGUACCUCUGGUGUACCAGUUGU
rnacentral:rRNA from 1 species